GGGAGAUAGAGAGAGAGAUUUACAUAGAUUUACAUGGAGAUUCAGACCCCACAGACCCCAUGGUGAUCUGUCAUUAGACUUAAGUGAUUCUACGUUAAUCAGACGACUCGUAAACUUUGCAUUUCUACUCUAGUUAAUGUUAAGUUGAAGUGUCGGCUGAGGUUGUUUUUGAAGGAGUCAAUCGCGUUGCACUGGACCACUGAAGGGAGACGCAGGGAGCUUGUUCCAGUAUCGCAGUACAACAUUCAACAUUUAUUGGUGUGCUGGAUAUCCCUUCACUGGUAGCCUGGUAACAUACACUCCCAGGUCUUUCUCUGCCUCUGUGGUGGAUAGUGGAGUGUUUCCCAUGUGGUAUUGGUGUGCUGGAUAUCCCUUCACUGGUAGCCUGGUAACAUACACUCCCAGGUCUUUCUCUGCCUCUGUGGUGGAUAGUGGAGUGUUUCCCAUGUGGUAUUGGUGUGCUGGAUAUCCCUUCACUGGUAGCCUGGUAACAUACACUCCCAGGUCUUUCUCUGCCUCUGUGGUGGAUAGUGGAGUGUCUCCCAUGUGGUAUUGGUGUGCUGGAUAUCCCUUCACUGGUAGCCUGGUAACAUACACUCCCAGGUCUUUCUCUGCCUCUGUGGUGGAUAGUGGAGUGUUUCCCAUGUGGUAUUGGUGUGCUGGAUAUCCCUUCACUGGUAGCCUGGUAACAUACACUCCUAGGUCUUUCUCUGGCUCUGUGGUGGAUAGUGGAGUGUUUCCCAUGUGGUAUUGGUGUGCUGGAUAUCCCUUCACUGGUAGCCUGGUAGCAUACACUCCCAGGUCUUUCUCUGCCUCUGUGGUGGAUAGUGGAGUGUUUCCCAUGUGGUAUUGGUGUGCUGGAUAUCCCUUCACUGGUAGCCUGGUAACAUACACUCCCAGGUCUUUCUCUGCCUCUGUGGUGGAUAGUGGAGUGUUUCCCAUGUGGUAUUGGUGUGCUGGAUAUCCCUUCACUGGUAGCCUGGUAACAUACACUCCCAGGUCUUUCUCUGCCUCUGUGGUGGAUAGUGGAGUGUUUCCCAUGUGGUAUUGGUGUGCUGGAUAUCCCUUCACUGGUAGCCUGGUAACAUACACUCCCAGGUCUUUCUCUGCCUCUGUGGUGGAUAGUGGAGUGUUUCCCAUGUGGUAUUGGUGUGCUGGAUAUCCCUUCACUGGUAGCCUGGUAACAUACAC